rnacentral:rRNA from 1 species
GACGAACGCUGGCGGCGUGCUUAACACAUGCAAGUCGAACGGAAAGGCCCUGCUUGCAGGGUGCUCGAGUGGCGAACGGGUGAGUAACACGUGGGUGAUCUGCCCUGCACUUCGGGAUAAGCCUGGGAAACUGGGUCUAAUACCGGAUAGGAGCCAUUUUUAGUGUGAUGGUUGGAAAGUUUUUUCGGUGUAGGAUGAGCUCGCGGCCUAUCAGCUUGUUGGUGGGGUAAUGGCCUACCAAGGCGGCGACGGGUAGCCGGCCUGAGAGGGUGGACGGCCACAUUGGGACUGAGGUACGGCCCAGGCUCCUACGGGUGGCAGCAGUGGGGAAUAUUGCUCAAUGGGCGCAAGCCUGGUGCAGCGACGCCGCGUGGGGGAUGACGGCCUUCGGGUUGUAAACUCCUUUCGCUAGGGACGAAGCUUUUUGUGACGGUACCUAGAUAAGAAGCACCGGCUAACUACGUG